AAGACGGGGUCUGGGGCAAAAAAGAAGGGAGGCUGGAGAAAUCUGGACCCGAGACGUACUGCCUCUUUGAAGCGGAUCCGUGAAGUAGAAAUUUGGAGACGUAAGCUGACGUGGAAAUCUAUCCCCAUCCUUAGCAGGGAGGUGCUGGUCAUGUGACCCGAUGUUGAAAUUGACAAGCUGCAAGCUAGUCUGGGCUUUUUUUUUUUUUCUUCUCCUUCAACCCCCCCCCCCUUUCCUUUUUUCCCCCCUCCCCUCCCUCCUCGGCUUCCUUUCUUUGUAGCCACCUCAGGGGAAGCAACAGAUCGUCACUCGGUGUUCUCACCGAAAGCACGUAAUCGCCGGUGUAACUCAUGUUGGCUGGGGGGCCUCCCGGCGCGGUGAGGCCGGGGUGCGCCCGCAGGCUGCUCGCUUUGGCUUGCCGGCACGGUCCUGGCCCUCGAGUGCGCCCAGGGCGGUGAGAGAGAUCAACCUCCGAUGCCUCCCACCCCGUUCCUCCCCAGGGGUGAGGGAUGCUAUGGGCUGGGGGGGGGGGGCGUUGACCAGGUGGAAGCCCAGAAUGGGGUGGUCGUGGUCUGAGAGUCUGUUCUCCUGAGGGCUAACGUUCGCACCUCCUCCUUCUCUGCAGCCGACCCCCCCCCCCCACCUUCUCCCACAGGCUUGCUCUGGGAAGCCCCUCAGCCUCAGACCCUGACUGGACCCCAUUUGGGGCCAGGGUUCGCCACCGUGGAUGUGCCGGUCCCGUGCUUUAUCCAAUUUGCACGGUGACUCGAUUACACGCUCGCAUUCAUGGUCACUUCCGAAGCGCUUUAGUGCCUUCCGUCCCUAAACCGCCAACAGCCUGGGCGGCUUCCCCCCGCGGUUUGUCAAUAAUCCGCGGGGUCCGGAAGGGCCUUCGUCUCACCCGGGAUCCAUUUUCCCUUCCUCCUUCCAUCUUGCCUCCUCACCCCACCCCCUGUUCUUGGAGAACCCCUUUCUCCCCGCUGCCUGCGGGGGUUCGGAGGGACUCCACAGAGCCAGGGGCACGCACGCUGCGCCUCUAGCUCACCGGUCAGCUGGCCUGCCUGGGUCUUCAGGAGCUGAAGAACCGGGAAACCAUGCAACUGAGGCAAGCCUUGGGCUGUUUUAGAGGCGCUAACAUCCGAAGAGCCUGUUCCUGGGAGGGCCUAAAGCUGCUUUCAGCCCCACUAGGCUCUAGAAAAGACUCCACUGGGGCCAAGGCCACCCCGGAAGGCCAAGUCCGAGUUCCAUGUCUUGAAGAAGCCGCGCGGCGGGCAAAGUUGUGACAUUGGCCCUGGCGAUUGGUUUGCCAAAAGCUGUUCUUUCUCCAGAGCUCCACAGCGUGGGGCCAUCUCCAAAAAACACUCCUCAGCGUAUAUUGCCUUUAAUCGUCCACCCGGAGGCCCACGGCGGCUAAUGCAAGAGGCCAAAAAUGUUUGGAGGAAGAAAAACAAAGGCAGGAAGUGGCGGCGGCCUGACGGUGCGUGUGUGUCUGUAAAGAAGGGAGGGAGCCGGUUCAAUCUCUUCUUGUUUUUCCGAACUUCAAGGUCUCGGCGGGCCUCCGCAGGGCACGGCCCGGGGCUCCCAAGUGCAGUGUUUCAAAGUGGCCACCGGGAGAGAAAGCGGGCGCCCCGGGCUAGCCUGGUCAGGCGGAAACGACUAACAAGGAGAUUUGGUCAGGAAAACAGGCUAAGCAAUUCCCAGGUUUAGUCCGAUUUGGUUCUAAAGGUUGGGGCGGAGGGAUGGGAGAUGCAGAACACCUCGCAGGCGGAGUGAGUGUCCCCUGGCCUGCGUGACGAUCCGGUGCAUCCUGCGCGCUAGCCGCCUGACUUCCAGAUUAUCAGAAUAA